UACGGGGGGGGCAAGCGUUGUUCGGAAUUACUGGGCGUAAAGGGUUCGUAGGUGGCUGGCUAAGUCAGACGUGAAAUCCCUCAGCUCAACUGGGGAACUGCGUCUGAGACUGGUCAGCUUGAGUGCAGGAGAGGAACGCGGAAUUCCAGGUGUAGCGGUGAAAUGCGUAGAUAUUGGGAGGAACACCAGUGGCGAAGGCGGCUCACUGGACCGGAACUGACGCUGAGGCGCGAAAGCGUGGGGAGCAAACAGG
rnacentral:rRNA from 1 species